rnacentral:rRNA from 1 species
CCUACGGGGGGCAGCAGUGGGGAAUUUUGGACAAUGGGCGCAAGCCUGAUCCAGCCAUGCCGCGUGCGGGAAGAAGGCCUUCGGGUUGUAAACCGCUUUUGUCAGGGAAGAAAAGGUUCUGGCUAAUACCUGGGACUCAUGACGGUACCUGAAGAAUAAGCACCGGCUAACUACGUGCCAGCAGCCGCGGUAAUACGUAGGGUGCAAGCGUUAAUCGGAAUUACUGGGCGUAAAGCGUGCGCAGGCGGUUAUGCAAGACAGAGGUGAAAUCCCCGGGCUCAACCUGGGAACUGCCUUUGUGACUGCAUAGCUAGAGUGCGGCAGAGGGGGAUGGAAUUCCGCGUGUAGCAGUGAAAUGCGUAGAUAUGCGGAGGAACACCGAUGGCGAAGGCAAUCCCCUGGGCCUGCACUGACGCUCAUGCACGAAAGCGUGGGGAGCAAACAGGAUUAGAUACCCGAGUAGUCC